GGCGGGGGGUGGCACCGAAGAGAAAAGGGUUGGGUAAACUAAAUUUUGAGUAACUAAAAGGUUGGGUAAAUGAAAAACAAAACAACUCAAGGGUUGGGUAAUAAAAAGUUAUUGUCAUUUCCAAAGCAUGACUCACUUAAAUAUUGGAGACCGAAAAGCAAUGUCAACAGUCGUAUGUCAAUACAAUAUGUGAAUCAAUCAGAGUCACUAUCUUGAUCAUUUUCCGAUUUGUUGGGAGACAAAUGGUGUCUCCAAAGAAAGUACAUGUGAAGACAACAACAAAGUUUAGUUAUCAAACUUGUGUCACAGAAGUGGUAAAGGACAUGUGUGACAACUGAAUGGUAUUCUUUUGUAAAGGUUUUGGCCAGGGGUGGGUAUUUAUUUUUUAAUUGAUAUUUGAGGUUGGGUAAUCAAAUUUUUUGCUUUUUAAUGGUUGGGUCAGCAAAAUUUUUACCAGGAAAAACAUUUCUCUUCGGUGCCACCCCCCACCAUAAAUAAUGAUCCGUC